rnacentral:tRNA from 1 species
GUGGGUACAGCUCAGUGGUAGAGCGCGUGCUUAGCAUUCACGUAGUCCUGGGUUCAAUCCCCAGUGCCUCCA